UUUGAACCAUUUGAUCUCUGCAACCAUGAGUGGAGUUACUUGCUGUCUAAGGUUCCCCGGCCAACUCAACUCCGACCUCCGAAAGCUUGCCGUGAACUUGAUUCCCUUCCCUCGUCUUCACUUUUUCAUGGUCGGAUUUGCUCCACUGACCUCCCGCGGUUCCCAGCAGUACCGAGCUCUAACCGUCCCUGAGUUGACACAACAAAUGUGGGAUGCAAAGAACAUGAUGUGUGCUGCUGACCCGAGGCACGGUCGUUACCUCACAGCAUCAGCCAUGUUCCGAGGCAAGAUGAGCACCAAAGAAGUGGAUGAACAAAUGAUCAAUGUCCAAAACAAGAACUCUUCCUACUUCGUCGAAUGGAUCCCAAACAACGUGAAAUCCAGUGUCUGCGACAUCCCACCUAGAGGGCUAUCAAUGGCAUCAACCUUCGUAGGAAACUCGACCUCCAUCCAGGAAAUGUUCAGGCGAGUUAGCGAACAAUUUACCGCUAUGUUCAGGAGGAAAGCUUUCUUGCAUUGGUACACCGGUGAAGGUAUGGACGAGAUGGAGUUCACCGAGGCUGAGAGCAACAUGAACGAUCUCGUGUCCGAGUAUCAACAAUACCAGGACGCUACCGCUGACGAGGA
rnacentral:lncRNA from 1 species